UACGUAGGGUGCGAGCGUUGUCCGGAAUUAUUGGGCGUAAAGGGCUCGUAGGCGGUUUGUCGCGUCGGGAGUGAAAACUCAGGGCUUAACCCUGAGCCUGCUUCCGAUACGGGCAGACUAGAGGUAUGCAGGGGAGAACGGAAUUCCUGGUGUAGCGGUGAAAUGCGCAGAUAUCAGGAAGAACACCAAUGGCGAAGGCAGCUCUCUGGGACGGUACUGACGCUGAGACGCGAAAGCGUGGGGAGCGAACAGG
rnacentral:rRNA from 1 species